rnacentral:pre_miRNA from 1 species
AAUAGAAGUACAAAGUGAUAUGGCAAACCCUAUGUUUGACUUUUUGAGUAACUGCCAGACUGUUUUCUAAAGUGGUUGAACCAUUUUAUAUUGUCACCAGCAAU